rnacentral:rRNA from 1 species
CCUACGGGUGGCUGCAGUGAGGAAUAUUGGUCAAUGGACGAGAGUCUGAACCAGCCAAGCCGCGUGAGGGAUGAAUGCGCAGAGCGUCGCAGACCUCUUUUACCUGGGAAUAAAAUGCCGCACGCGUGCGAUCCUGUGUGUACCCGGUGAAAAAGGAUCGGCUAACUCCGUGCCAGCAGCCGCGGUAAUACGGAGGAUGCGAGCGUUAUCCGGAUUUAUUGGGUUUAAAGGGUGCGUAGGCGGAGAGUUAAGGCAGCUGUGAAAGUGUGGGGCUCAACCGUAGCAGUGCAGUUGAAACUGGCAGUCUUGAGUGUAGUGGAGGUAGGCGGAAUGCGUGGUGUAGCGGUGAAAUGCAUAGAUAUCGCGCAGAACUCCGAUUGCGAAGGCAGCGCGCUGUGCUGCAACUGACACUGAGGCACGAAAGUGUGGGUAUCGAACAGGAUUAGAUACCCUUGUAGUC